rnacentral:rRNA from 1 species
CGCGGCACCCUACACUGGUGACUUACGUUGUUACCACGCGGGGGACUCGCACACGACCCUCGGCGCCCUGACACGACGGACGCCUGCGGCACGACUUACGCUACGUUGGUGACGGUACACUGGCUCACCCACACGGCUUCGACUCUGUACGCUGGUCUGACGACGGACCGGCCACGCCACCACCUGGCACCUGACCACCACCGGGGCCCGGACCUCCUACCGGGACGGGCACGGCACGUUGGGGACACUUUUGGGCCACUGGGCGACACACGGCCUGACCCCACGGCACACCGCCGCGUGACCGGACGGGACACACUCCUUCGGGACCUGGUACACACCCUUCACCACACGCACACGGGGGACACGGACGACGGCUUGUUGGGCUUGACACUUACACUUCCCACCACGUUGG